rnacentral:lncRNA from 1 species
AGGACAAAGAUCUGAAAGGGUGGUGGGUGGAGAAGCAAGGUAGCAAAGGUUCCUCCCCUUCCCGGGCAUUUCGAACGAAGCGGCCGCUCGGCGUGACUCCGCAUCGCCGGGCCCGCCUCCCAGGUGUAAAAUGCGGAGCGACUUAUAGGUGGCAGAGCAGAACCUGGUACGCGCCGUGAUUUAUUUUAAUAGCGCUGCAUAGAGCGACAAGUUGUAAUGUGACAGCUCAACAACGUGUUGGAAAAUAACACGCUGCUCCGCAGCUGGGAAUUCCUCAUGAUUUAUGUAGCCCGACAAAGUCGUUUCAGUCCUGGCCCCUCUUUCCUUCUGUCGUAAGCACGCCCUGUAUAGGGGUAAGAUGUGAACAGGUAGGCAAUACUGUGUGCUUUUGCUGCGGGAGAGAAGUAGUCAAAACCUUAACUUCAGUUUUAGGUAUGCUACUGUGCAUAUAGUAGCGUUGCUUGAUCUCGUCCGGAUGUUUGUAAUGUUAUAACUGUUGCUCUCCAAUAAAAUCUUUAUUUAUUUAUUUAUUUUUAAAGUGAUUUGCUGUAAUAUAUACAUAUAUUUUUNNNNNNNNNNGCUCAGGCGCUUGCGGCGCCGUCGGAAGACGCCGUCGGCGAAGGUGUACUCGCUGCUGGGGUUGAGCAUCCAGUAGUUGUCCUUGCCCCAGGGCCGCGCCGGGUCGCGCAGCACCUUGACGAAGCAGUCGUUGAGCGAGAGGUUGUGGCGCACCGAGUUGCGCCAGCCCGUGUAGGCGCCGCGGAAGAAGGGGAAGCGGCUCAUCAGGUUCCUCCCCUUCCCGGGCAUUUCGAACGAAGCGGCCGCUCGGCGUGACUCCGCAUCGCCGGGCCCGCCUCCCAGGUGUAAAAUGCGGAGCGACUUAUAGGUGGCAGAGCAGAACCUGGUACGCGCCGUGAUUUAUUUUAAUAGCGCUGCAUAGAGCGACAAGUUGUAAUGUGACAGCUCAACAACGUGUUGGAAAAUAACACGCUGCUCCGCAGCUGGGAAUUCCUCAUGAUUUAUGUAGCCCGACAAAGUCGUUUCAGUCCUGGCCCCUCUUUCCUUCUGUCGUAAGCACGCCCUGUAUAGGGGUAAGAUGUGAACAGGUAGGCAAUACUGUGUGCUUUUGCUGCGGGAGAGAAGUAGUCAAAACCUUAACUUCAGUUUUAGGUAUGCUACUGUGCAUAUAGUAGCGUUGCUUGUUCUCGUCCGGAUGUUUGUAAUGUUAUAACUGUUGCUCUCCAAUAAAAUCUUUAUUUAUUUAUUUAUUUUUAAAGUGAUUUGCUGUAAUAUAUACAUAUAUUUUUAACAUCGUGGCUCUAUAAAUUUUCUGUAAUGCCUGGCACAAAAGUGUUCUGUAAUUUUAUCUAGAUACUUUUCUUGCUAGAAAAAGUGACCAUGACUUUUCUGCUUAAUUGUAGCUUUGCACUUGCCAGGGUCUUAGGCUCCUUCAGCAGUCAGAAGUUCGAUCCUCCUUGUCUGUUGGACAGAACAGCUCAAUGAAGAGAGCAAGACAGCAGUAACUUCUCUGUAAACUCAGUUCAGUCCUGCCCUGCUCUUCAUUCAAAGUCAGUUGCAAAACCCCAUUUGACUUCCUACAGCAGUAGUGCUAGCAUCUACAGAACUAUAACAAAACAAAAAUAUCAGCAGAAAUCUAGCGUGAUGCUUAUAUUUUAUUUUUCAUCUGUAUACUUUGAAUUUUGUGUCCUAGAGUAAGUGUUAGAUUGCUCCAUAUUUUCCCAAAGCAGUUUUUCUAAAUCAGACUUUGUUUUAGAAUAAAUGCUUAAAAUUGCAGAGUCACUCUACCUAGGACUGUGCUCCUGCGGUCUGGCUGUCAAGGUGUGUUGGGGAGGAACUUAAAAGAAGUCGAAUUUGAAAGGCUAACAGAAGAAAAAAACAGUCCUACUUUUCUUUCCCCAUCUCUCUUGAAUAGAAUAUAUACAUUCCCACACACACCUGCAAAGUGUUUCAAAGCUUUGACAUUUUUUUUUUUUCAGUUUGUGUGGGUCUUAAAUACUGAACAAUGAGAGGUCGUUCUGUCCAUUUGGUUGUACUCUAACUUUAAUAAUGGAUUUGAUGUCUUCCUGUUCCCACUAAAGCUGUACUAGUUCAGAAAAAUGGGUAAUUGAAUGACAAAAAUAAGAGGAGGGAGACCUCUCUUGGUUUCUUGUUGUUGUCUCUCUGUAAUGUAAACAGAUCUUUCACUGCAUUAGCUGUAGGUGCCAAUGUUUGUGUUUAAGGGUAUGGGAAAAAGCCAUCAUUCCUUCCAAAACUUGUAUUUUCUAAGAUGAUGCCAAUGGCGAGGGUAGGUUUUUCCUCUUCCUGCUUUUGUUGUAAAUAGCAGUGAAGUAGCGAUGAUUUGCUAGCUUACCUUUGAUGUUUAUUUUAUUACCGUUCCACUAUUUGUGUGGAAAAUGUACACAUUGUCUCUUAUCUUUAUUCAAAGAACUUAAAAAGUCAUUCAAAUGCUGUAGGUAAACACGUCAGACAUAACAGAAGCUUUUCACAGCCAUACUUCAAGAUGAGGAGCGGAUAGCAAAGCUGGUUUUGCAAGAUUUAAGAAGGGACAGAAGCUUGUGUUAAAAAUAAUACAAUUAAAGAUAGCUAUUAAUGGAGGAGAGUACCUUUCUAAGAUGAGUGUUGAUUCUUGUGUGGGCUCAAGGCCUCUGUGCUGCCUCUCAGCAUGUCCCUGUAUAAACUGACCCUGAAAUCUAUGGUGUCUCUUACCCGACAAAACAGAUGAAGGUGCUUAUGUGAGAUCUGUGCUGGGUUUAAAUAGAGCCUUCCUGGUCCAAGUCGGAGUGGAGUCAAGCCCAUUGCUAUUGCUGCCCAUGAAAGAACGGGUGUAGUUUUUAAGAAGUGGUGAAAUAGUACAACUCCUCCUGUCUCUCACCACUGAGAGUAUAUGUAACCUCAAGUCUUUUCCUGCUAUAGUUUUUUAAAAGGCACAGUAUCGCCUUCAGGUUUAUAAAGAUUAACACAAUCAUCGGAAAAACUGAUUCUGUUAAGUAAACUUCACAUCAAAAGCGCUUUGAUGUGCUGUAUUAUAGCAAAGCCAAACACUCCACCCCCAUCACCCCAAGAAAAACCUCCAAAAACUUCUCGUGAAGCAAUGUAAAAAAAAUCUAGAUUCUUUGUUCUAAAAUGAAAUGUCUCUUCCUCUCUAGCGCAGCAGAGUAGGAUUUUUUUGAUGUAUGACCCCCUCUUUUCCUACCCAGAACAGUACCUAGUCAAAGACAAAGAGGAGAAAUGUGAAUGGUUGCUUGCAAAUCACACGGCCAACUUUGCUUCCCAUGUUCAGUAGUAUUCCACUCCUGUACUUCACAAACAGCAAGAGUACGCCAAUGUGUGUUUGAGGGUAGGGCAGUUUGCUCAGCCUUAGAGUUCUAAAAAUAUUCAUUACUACAUGCAGCAAAACACUACACAGUCUGGUGGUUGUGGGCAUGUUUUUGGUUGAUCCAGUUGUGUUGCCUUCAUGGUGUUCUAAGCCAUGAUUUUGCUUUAUGCUCCAGUGAAAAUU